GAUGAACGCUGGCGGCGUGCCUAAUACAUGCAAGUCGAGCGGACGGACGAGAAGCUUGCUUCUCUGAUGUUAGCGGCGGACGGGUGAGUAACACGUGGAUAACCUACCUAUAAGACUGGGAUAACUUCGGGAAACCGGAGCUAAUACCGGAUAAUAUUUUGAACCGCAUGGUUCAAAAGUGAAAGACGGUCUUGCUGUCACUUAUAGAUGGAUCCGCGCUGCAUUAGCUAGUUGGUAAGGUAACGGCUUACCAAGGCAACGAUGCAUAACCGACCUGCGAGGGUGAUCGGCCACACUGGAACUGAGACACGGUCCAGACUCCUACGGGAGGCAGCAGUAGUGAAUCUGCCGCAAUGGGCGAAAGCCUGACGGAGCAACGCCGCGUGAGUGAGGAAGGUCUUCGGAUCGUAAAACUCUGUUAUUAGGGAAGAACAUAUGUGUAAGUAACUGUGCACAUCUUGACGGUACCUAAUCAGAAAGCCACGGCUAACUACGUG
rnacentral:rRNA from 1 species